rnacentral:antisense_RNA from 1 species
GUCCUGCGCGUCCUGCGAGGUGUCUUGCAGGCCGUCAUGCAGGCCACACUGACGGAAACGUUGCAGGUCGUCUUGCAGGGCGUCUCGCAAGACGACACAAUCAUCGCCCUCGACAUGCGGCACCAGGCGUGGGCUCGGGUGGGUCUGGGUGCCCUCGAGGGCAGGGCCCCCGAUGCCGAAGAACUGGCACAGCAUCUGCCAGAAACUGGGCGUGAUCCGCAAGCCAUGCAGGGAGUGGAGCUGCCAGGGCCUGGGGCCCAGGAACAGCUCGGCCAGCUCCUCGGGCGGGAGGGCAUUGGCACCUACGAGAGGUGGCAUCUGGGUGAACAGCUGGGUGACAGCGCUGGCGAUGCCGCUGCUGGUGAGGAGGGACGCGUCCAGGAAGAGGCGUAGAGAGCGCUGUGGGGGCGGCCGGGCUGGGUCCGCGGCAGGCGCGGGCAGCAGGGCCAGGCGCCUCCUGAACCGCAGCAUCACGAGGAGCGCGGCCAUGGCCAGGAGGUUCUUCCAGAGCAGGAGGCUUCGGUAGAAGUGCAGCAUGACUGCCCUGAUCUGGGCCAUGCUGAAGUGGGCCAGGAAGCUGUUGAAUAUCUGGUCCACGGGUAUCAGCGCCAGGAGCCCGUGCUGGAGGUUCUGCCCGUUGGGCUCGUCUGGGUGAAGGGCAUCUUCACUCUCCUCUUCGUUUUCUGAUUCUGGGGACUGACCCCCAGGGGGGCCCCGCAUGGUGACAAGCAUCGUUGGCCUGGUGGUGGUGGCGGCCUGGCUCUGCUGGGCCCUCUUGCGGAGCCUCUGCCGGCGGGGCAGGGGCUGGGCGUCCUCCGAUGUCGGCAUCUCCUUGACGUCAAAGUUGAAGUGGGCGAAGAAGAAGACCCAGUGGCCGGGGAGAAGUACGGUGAGCCUGUCAUUGUUCAGAGAGGCUAGAUCCUCCUUGUUGAGAAGGAUCAUGAUGGGCUCCUCGGUGUUCUCCAGGUAGCGGCACCACACCAUGAAGGCAGCCCGGAUUGGAAGGAUCUUCAUCUCCGCCAGCGAGGCCUCCACCUCCAUCGGGGAGAUGUUGCGGGAGUAGAAAGCGCAGCACGCUUUCUUGCCAGUCCGCUUGUCCAUUUGGAUCAGGCUGGCGUACAGGGACGUCUUGGUGACGCCCGUCUGCAAGUAGAACUGGUUCUGGGGCUUGGGGUGGUAGAGGAGGGGCGCCUUGCGGAAUGCCCGCUUCAGGCCCACGAAGGCCUCCUGCUCCUUGUCACCCCAGUCGAAAGGCUGGUCGGCCCGGAGCUGCCGCACCAGGGGCUCUGUGAUGUCGGCGAACCGUUCCACGAAGUGCCGGUAGGGGAAGGCGAAUUCCAUGAGGUUUCGCAGGGACUUCCUCGAGCCUGGGGUGGGGUACCCUGUGAUCGUGCUGACGAUGCUCUUGUUGAGCCUCACCCCCUUGGGGGUCACGACGAAGCCCAGGAACUCGGCAGUGUGCCGGUGGAACUGGCUUCUCUGCAGGGAGCAGUAGACGUGGUGGUAGCGGAAGCGGACCAGAACCUGGCGCACGUGGUGGUAAUGCUCCUCCUGGCUCAUGGAGUAGACCAGGACGUCCUGCCCGUAGGAGAUGACAAAGAGGCCGAUCAUGUCCUUUAGGAUGAAGUGGAUCACGCCCUGGGGGAUGAUAGGGUCUGCACAGAUCAGGAAGGGCUGGUAGCUCGCCAUCUCUUGGAGCUCCAAACCGAAUGCCACUUUCCAUACGUCUUCUGUCUGGUGUAUGUCCAUGCUUUCCUCCACGAUGGUCCCACGCAGCUCCAGCUUGGUGAACCAUGUAGCUCCGUGUAACUGGUCGAACAGUUCUGGAAUCAUCUGUAUGUAGUCAUGCCUGCUGGUCAGCAUGUCCUGCAGGUCCCAGAAUUCCUCCUGCUUGGCUUUUUCUUGCACCCCGGCAUCCACAGGUUCCCACGGCGCGGUGGAGGCGCAGUCGUAAAAGGUCUCCUCGCUUUGAUCACUGUCUCCAGCCUGCUGAAGCUCAGAGGGCUCUGAUUCAGAAAGAUCAUCGGAUCCGUCUGAGCUUGGCUGGUCGGAAGUCUCCUCAUCUGCUUCCUUCGGGUUAAACACGUCGGCCAGGUCGGAGUACUGGUGUGGCAAUCCGGGCAGUAGGCUUACGGCAUGGUGUUCCAGAGCAAUGCAUGGUGGGGGCGGGCGGAAGCAAUUCUUCAGGCAGUAGGGAGAGUGGAAGGUGCAGCGGCCUUUGACCCAGUCGAUGUCGGGGGCGUGGAGCUGGAGCCACUUGAUGCCUAGAAUCACGGAGAAUUUGGAUGAAGCAACGAUGUCAAAUUCCAGGGACUCCUGGUGGUUCUGGUGCAAACACACCAGGGGUUCGGUGUAGAGCCAGACGGGUUCGUUGCCGACCAGCGAGCCGUCCGCGGUCUGGACCAACUCUGCGUAGGGCUUCUGGUAGAGCUCCACGUAGUGCUCUUGGGCGAACCCCUCAUCCAUGUAGUUGCUGGUCGCUCCCGAGUCGACCAGGGCCUGGACCGCCACGCUGUGGUAGGGGUUCACCCUCACGAGGAGCAGCAGGAAGAGGUGCUUGCGUUUGAUGCCAGGGUGGAACUCGUUGGGCAGCCAGGUGCUCACGGUCCACCUCUCGGGAACAGGUGAGUCGAGCCAGGUCAGGUGCCGUGGGCGGGCCUCCGGGGCCAGCCUGAGCAUCGCCCUUCUCUCAGCCAGCUUGUCCUCUAUCUGCAGGACCAGCGCAAUCAGGUUUUCCAGCGAAUUCGGCUGCGGGAUGCUGAACAGAUACUGCCUGAUGUCUUCCUUGAGCCCCUGGCACAGGUGGGCCUGGAGGACUUCGUCUGGCCAGCCCAAGGUGGGUACGAGGCUCUGGAACUCGUUGAUGUAUUCGAUGGCGGCGCGGUCCCCCUGCCUGAGGUUGAACAUGGCAUCCUCUGCUACCCGCAGGGCCUGGCGGUACUCAAACGUGUCGUUCAUGGCUUCCAGGAAGGCCGGGAAGUCAUCAAUCAUGGAGCUUUCUUUCUCCACCAGGUCGCUGGCCCAUUCCAUAGCCAUGCCCGAGAGGUGACUGAUGACGUACCCCACUCGCAGGCGGUCGUUGCAGAACACUCUUGGGUAGCUCUGUAAGAUCAGCUGGCAGAGCACGAUGAACUCAUGGUAUUCUCUGCGAUCACCUGAGAAUUGCUUCGGGGUCGGCAGUUGGCCUUUGUUGAUCGCGUUCAUCAGGAUCUCUUCCGCCACUCGCUGCUGCUCUCUGAGGUCUUGCAUCCGGAAAUACAGAGAGAUGAUGGACCUCACCAUGCCCAUGACCUCCACUGUUGAGCUGUCUGGCUCUUCGGGACUCUCGUCUUCCUCCGAUUCAGCCAGGUCAGUGUAGUAGUCUUGGUCUUCCUGGGACUCCCAUGGGUUGUCCUCUUCUUCUUCUUCCAUUCCACCAGGUGCCCCUCCGAAUGGACCCCCCUCUUCCAGAUGACAACCCUCGCAUGACUCCUCCAAGUCUUGGAGUAGGUCAUUGGGUGGAUCCUUUAUUUCCCUAUGUGGGCCACUGGAUGGCUCCUCCAUGUCUUGGCGGAGGUCAAUGGACUGCUCUCCCGUUUCCUGGGCCAGGCCGCCGGCCAGCCCCGCCGCCUCCGCUCUGCCGCCUGGCGGCGUCUCCACGGUGGUUUCGGAUGAGCCCUCGGAGGACUCCAUUUGUUUUGAUGAUGGAUUCUUACGCUCCAUCAUCGUCUCAAAUGAGUCUUCAGAGGGUUCUAUCAUUUCGUCGG